rnacentral:rRNA from 1 species
AUUGAACGCUGGCGGCAGGCUUAACACACGCAAGUCGAGCGGAUGAGAGGAGCUUGCUCCUCGAUUCAGCGGCGGACGGGUGAGUAAUGCCUAGGAAUCUGCCUAGUAGUGGGGGACAACGUUUCGAAAGGAACGCUAAUACCGCAUACGUCCUACGGGAGAAAGUGGGGGAUCUUCGGACCUCACGCUAUUAGAUGAGCCUAGGUCGGAUUAGCUAGUUGGUAGGGUAACGGCCUACCAAGGCGACGAUCCGUAACUGGUCCGAGAGGAUGAUCAGUCACACUGGAACUGAGACACGGUCCAGACUCCUACGGGAGGCAGCAGUGGGGAAUAUUGGACAAUGGGCGAAAGCCUGAUCCAGCCAUGCCGCGUGUGUGAAGAAGGCCCUCGGGUCGUAAAGCACUUUAAGUUGGGAGGAAGGGCUUACAGCGAAUACCUGUGAGUUUUGACGUUACCGACAGAAUAAGCACCGGCUAACUUCGUGCCAGCAGCCGCCGUAA